AGCUACUGGGGAUAAUUGUCGAUUGGGUAAAGUUCGUGUAUGUAGACAAAAGUGAAAAAUACAUGUUUUGACACAACUUCAGCUUGUUUUAUUUCGUCCCUGUGAUAAAUUCCAGCCGAAAUAUAGCCGGCAAGUGUAUCGUGGAAGUCACGGUCAGAUGAGCAACGAUGCAUCUGCCUCCUGUGUUCCUCCCUCCUGUUGCAAGGUGCCGUAGAAAGCCCUGAGACAGUUUCAUUCUAAUACUUCACUUUCUUCCUGCCCCUUCUUCCCAACCUUGCUUUCCCCCUUCAAGCUUUCAUGCAUAUUUGAAGGCAAUAGCACUACUUUUUACUUUGUGAUGGGCUGAAGUUUCCACACAGUUUUCAGGUUUAAGAAUUAUUGGCAUUCUUUUACUUGUGCCAACAGCACCACCCUGUGGUUAUCUGAUCGAACACGGUUAUCCUGCUGUGUUAGCAUGUUGGAUGAAAGCAUUGAGCAGAUUGUC